CCAUGGUCGGGCCCUCCCGGAGAACGGCAGCGGCGCCGGGAAGAGGUAGAGGAGGAGGAGUUGCACGGAUUCAAGAGCUCGAGCUCCAAGAGAUGCAAUAAGCGAUUGUGUUUUGAGUCUUGGCAGCGCCAAAUCCAUGAGCAGAGGCUGGUGCAAACAGGAGAGUACAGGGCUGCACCUCUUUAACUUAGGUAUAUUUUCACAUCAGACUGGGUUUAUAGCUUCAUUCCUAUACAAAUACAUUGUUGCACCGAUUUUGCUAUAAGACAUUAGGGUGCUACUGUAGUGCACUAGGAGAUACAUUAUUAACACAGACCACUCCUUGCUUGCAGUGUUGCUUUAGGAGGGUGUCUGGGAACAACGGAAAGAAAGAACCAUUCAUGCAUUCAGCAUUCUCUUUGCCACUGUAAAAAAUUAUAAAAUAUUCACUUGAGUUUGGUUUUUGGCUUCGUCAAAGUAAGCAAUUUUAUGUCUGUGUAGAAUUGGAUGUGGUGGGUAGAAAAGCAAUGAAAUAUUUCCCCUGGUUAUGUUAAUUGUGGAUCGCGCCAUCUCAUGAAGAAUGAGUUCAGGACCUGCAUUUUCCUGUGACCUUGGCUAAAGCAGUUCCCUUUACACAGCUGUAUUUUGACUGUCGUUAAAAUGAAACUAAAGAUACCUUUUCUCAUUUCAA